GGAUUGUGGCUCAGUGGCAGAGUACUUGCCUCGCAUGUAUGAGGCACUGGGUUCAAUCUUCAGCACCA
rnacentral:tRNA from 1 species